rnacentral:rRNA from 1 species
CAGGACGAACGCUGGCGGCGUGCUUAACACAUGCAAGUCGAACGGGGAUCAUCGGGCGGAAGGCUUCGGCCGGAAGGCUGGUGAUUCCAGUGGCGGACGGGUGAGUAACGCGUGAACAAUCUGUCCCAGACAGGGGGAUAACACUUGGAAACAGGUGCUAAUACCGCAUGAGACCACGGUGUCGCAUGGCACAGGGGUAAAAGGAGCGAUCCGGUUUGGGGUGAGUUCGCGUCCGAUUAGCCAGUUGGCGGGGUAACGGCCCACCAAAGCGACGAUCGGUAGCCGACCUGAGAGGGUGAUCGGCCACAUUGGAACUGAGAGACGGUCCAAACUCCUACGGGAGGCAGCAGUGGGGAAUAUUGGGCAAUGGGCGAAAGCCUGAACCCCCAGCAACGCCGCGUGAGUGAAGAAGGCCUUCGGGUUGUAAAGCUCUGUUAUGUGGGACGAAGGAAGUGACGGUACCACAUAAGGAAGCCCCGGCUAACUACGUGCCAGCCGCAGC